UUGGAUAUUCAUCCCCUCAGAUACUACCUAGCGUACGGUACAUUCUGAAAUGUAGUCUAGCGUAUGACUACCCCUUUUAUCAUCAGAUACAGCCUAAUGGACGGCUCAUUCUGCUACUCAGAUACGAUCUAGCGUAUGAUCCAUUCUGAUCUUUUAUCCUCAGAUACAACCUAAUGGACGGCUCAUUCUGCAACUCAGAUACGGUCUAGUGUACGACCCAGUC
rnacentral:lncRNA from 1 species